CAGUCUCGAUGGGACGCAGGAAUAAAACGCAGAGUGAAAAAGCAUCGUUGAAAAAAUCUGUUCUCGCCUAUGAAAUAUCCGGGCUUAAAUUAACGCGCCUAACCUCGGUCUCGAAUCCAGAGUACCUGCAUUGUCAUUUGUUUAUUCACUAAUGAGCGACAAAAUGGCGUCAGCUUGUACGAGAGCGGUUAAAAAAAGCUAUGCACUCCUCGCUUAACUAGCAAUUAUUAAAAUUGGUUCACUUUGGCUUGGAUACAAAUUGAUCAUUAAUGAAGAACCCACUCCCGUACCUCUUCAAAUCUGUGUGGUAACUGCGUCGGUGAAACUUAAAUGCAUUGAAAAAUGGCGUCAGAUAGUUCCAGCCUUCGUUAUACCUGUGUUGUGCGGAACAGCUCUUCACUUUUUGCAACAUGUCAAUAGGAAAAAUAAUGCGCCGAGAGUUUUUAUAGUUGGAGCCGGCUUGUCUACUAAAAGCAUAGCCUCAACCAAACCAUAUCUCCUUGUUUAUAUGAAUAGUCAUGAAUCGACGUGUGUAUGCAUACACGCGAUACGAUCAUUACCAUGUGUAUUUAUAUCGUGAUCACUGUUUCACGAAUAGCUUGAAGAUGUUUUGCGCAAGUUACGUCGGUAAUAUCAAGCCAGGACUCGUGACGGGGAAGUUUCAGGCUACUGAAUGCAAUUACUUGUUGAAUUCAAAUAUGGAGUUGUAGAUUGAUUACGAAACUCAAGCAUGCAUGAAAAUGGCCACGGCAUCACUUGCAAAUGGCAUCAAAAUGGUGUAAAAUUCGAAAAUAAAUCAAAUUUCUUCUCAACUAUUGGAUCUAGUAAUAAAAAUUUGCACACUCAAUCAUAAAAGAAAUUUAAUUUUCGGAAAUCCAUAUUUCAUACUAUGUUUCCAGUAGCGUUAUCCGCAAAAUGCUACAGUGUGGCGAAAUAGUAAGACGUACUAGGAUGCAUUUCAAGCCAUACGGCUUAAUAUGUAUUUGCGAAACAAAGAUCGAAAUAGCAUUCAAUUUGUGUUUCGGAACAGUUUCUCUGCAGAAUCUCAAAUGGCACGCAUGAACUAAUAUUUUGCGUCUUUGGAAUUUAUUUGCUCAGACCUGAUCCAGGGAAUUAUAUGCUGGAGCAUGUUGGUCUUAUCGGAGCACACGUAACGCACCCUUGGUCGUCGGGCCGAUUAGAGAUGUAGACAAUUAGCGGACAGAAGAACGAUCAAUGUUGACCUUUUUUUAAUCCCCUUUCUUCACUUCAUAGUUCAAUGAAAUGCAAUGUUGUAAUUCAAUAGUUCCCAUAGUCAGACUGUCGAAUAUUUGAAUAAUUAUAGUGUAUUCCACAUGUAUUAGGGUGUCUCAUUUUAUCUUGUAUUCAGGGCUAUUUUGAAAGAUCUCUAUUGAAUUCAUUUUAAAUCCCUUAAUGACCUAGUUCAAGGUAAUUAACAAAUUCCUUUGAUAUAGGUAAUGCCACAGGCCAUCAAUUAUGUCAUUAGUCUGCCACCUAUUCUACCUUAAUUUAUAAUGAUAUUCAAAGAGUACACAUACUUAUAUUAAAAACUCAAUAGGUUGAUGCCAAUCAGCCUGUUAUAUUCAUCAUUCAAAAUUUAUUUCGUUUCCAGGAAUCAUGCUUGAAAAAGGAAAAUAAAAUCAGAAUACACAAAUACGAUAGAAUAAUAAUAUUGGAAUAGGUACUGUCACAGUCUUAUGUCAAAAUUAACGAUAUUGCAAUGACUUUCACACUAAAACGGAAUUGGAACAAUAUGAUGAUUGUUAAAGUUACAGGUUAUUUUUAAAAAUGUGUAUAAGAACAUGAAAAUAUAUUCACUGCUGUGGUAUUUUUCUAAAUUCUUCCUCAUGUAAGCAUCCUUUCACCUAACAUUACUGUUCGAUACAGACUACAAUAACCUUCAGCUAGCGUGCAGUGUUAUGGAACAAAGGACUCGAGUUCAAAUCACUAGCGAAUCAAGGAAGACCUGAGCAACAGCCUGCAAAAUAUAUACGACAUGGCAGGUUGUUCAGAUGCUGAAUCGACAAGGUGAAUUUUGAACUCAGUCUGGCUGCACCUGGGCUAGGUUUGCUGCAGUUUUUCUUUCCCCCCAGUGUUAAAAGAAGACGUUAAUAUAGGCAAUAGCAAUAACAAUUGCUAAUAAUUUUAAAGAAAUGUAACGCAGGAUGCUUUGGGGAGAAAUUUGAAUCUUUUCA